GAUGAAGAACGUAGUGAAAUGCGAUAAGUAGUGUGAAUUGCAGACUUUAGUGAAUCAUCGAAUCUUUGAACGCACAUUGCGCCCCUUGGUAUUCCAUUGGGCAUGCCUGUUCGAGCGUCAUUUACAACCUCAAGCUCCGCUUGGUGUUGGGUGUCUGUCUGCGCUUCUUGCGAAGACUCGCCCUAAAUCUAUUGGCAGCGGCAUCGCCGGCUUCUCGCGCAGUACAAUGCGUUAUGGAAGGCUACCGGCGGGCUUGCGUCCAUCAAGUAACCCCCCAAGUUUGACCUCGAAUCAGGUAGGGAUACCCGCUGAACUUAAGCAUAUCAAUAAGCGGAGGA
rnacentral:misc_RNA from 1 species